rnacentral:lncRNA from 1 species
AUUUCUGUUACAAAAAAAAGAAUAGUGAGACUUUGAUUUGUUGAAAACAGUAUAAAACAAAUAAAAAUAAUAUAAUGGUAGAAUUAAUAAGAGAAAAAUGUAUGACUACUGAGGAAAUGUAAACAUAUAGAAUAAAACAACAUAUGUUCUAUAUAGUUUGACGGAAACUUUUUAUAAUUAUCUAGGGGAAAAACGAUGUAAGAGUGAACCUCUCUCCUCCCACUUUCCUCCAACCUCUCUCCUCCCUCAAGUAAGCGCGUGUGAUUUUCUCUCCGGCGUCCGGCGGCGCGUGCUGGUGCCGGAUGAGCCUUCUCUCUCCAUAUCUUGUUUUCCCCUUUUUGCUGCUCUACGUCCUCUCUUUUCUCCACCGAUAUAUUCGAGAUCCUGGACUGUCUAGCUUUUCCGGCGAGCGUUUCGCGCGCGAGGAGCGUCUCCCCGGCGAGGUAUGGGCUUCUUCUGGUUUUCAGUGAGGUGGUAGCAAGGUCUGGUCCGUGGAGUAGUCGGCUUUUGGGUUGGAAGGGGAUCAAUUUUUCAGAUCUAGAUCUCGUUCGUCCUUUCCUCGUUGUUGUUUGAGGAGCUCCGGCUUGGUUCUACUCUCGUCCUCUUCGGCGUUGAAGUGGUCCUGCCCCUCUUUCUCAGUGGUUAGGUGAACUCCGUUUGUGUCACUUGAGUCUUGAGCUUUAGAGACAUUCUGGUUCGGUAGUGGCGGUGGAAUCAACCCGCUUUUUGCACGGUUCAUGACAGAGUAGUGGUGUGUACAGUUUGGUUCAGGCCUCUUAUGGUAACUGGUAAGGGUCUCGUAACCUUCACUUCUAUUAUCCGCCUAGUAUUUCAGCGCCAGUGGCGCAUACAAGUUUCGAUGAGUUCAUUGGAAACUAGCUACUCCUGAGAUGACUUUGAAAAUCCCGGCAUCCAAGGCAACGAGGAGAACCUCACUUUUCCGAGGCUAUCAUUAGAGGUAGAGAACGGUAACCCACUCCUGAAAAUUUCGAAAAGCUGAUCAGCGGAACGUGCCGGGUUUAGUGGGUGGGCGAAGCUGUGAUUGUAAUAGAAUGAUUCGGGAAUUUUUGAACAAUUCGGACUUGUAUUCUGAUCUGAAUCCCCGUUUCGUGUUGGAUAAAAAUUUUAAUUAAAAAAAAAUUCUAGGGGAAAGACAAACAAAAGUAAAAAAUUAAUGAAAUAAAUAAAAGGGUGAUAUAUAUAUGAUAGAGGGGGUUUUUUUUUUGCUAAUAAGUAAAUUAUAAUUUAUUUGAUGUAUAUACAAUGCAAUUUCCAUUAUUUGAAUUCGAGUUGGAAUGAUG